GACGAAGGGGGCUAGCGUUGUUCGGAAUUACUGGGCGUAAAGCGAGUGUAGGCGGUUGUCCUAGUCAGGUGUGAAAGCCUUGAGCUCAACUCAAGAAAUGCACUUGAUACUGGGCGUCUAGAGGACCGGAGAGGAUAGUGGAAUUCCCAGUGUAGUGGUGAAAUACGUAGAGAUUUGGAAGAACCCCAGUGGCGAAGGCGGCUAUCUGGACGGUUACUGACGCUAAGCCUCGAAAGCGUGGGGAGCAAACAGG
rnacentral:rRNA from 1 species